AAGGAGAUAGCAGUGAUUGGUUUUCCGGUGAGAAUAGGAGAAACAUCACCAUCAACAAUUCUAUUAAUAUAAGGUUCCAAAUCUUUGUAAGUGACCAAUGGAACACAUGCCUUGAAGCUUUCAGGAUCAGUUCUUCCAUUCAGUCCUAAACUCUGCAAGUAUUCAGCUGAUGCAUUUACUUCCAAAAUCCUCUUCAGUGUAUCCUUCUGAACAUUCUCAGCAUCCUUUGUUAGCCUCUCAAAUUCUUCUAUCAAGUUUUCCAUGUCAAAUUUCUCAAUUAUUUCCUUCAUCUUCACACCUCCUUCACCUGCUGCUAUUAUCAACAAGAAAAAAGUGUCACACAAUUAUGUAGUCAAAUCAAUGAGUGACAUUUUUUCAGUUUGGAAUUAUUAUUAUAAUUAAUACUUUAUUAUUAUAAUAAACAUAAAGAAAAGUUCUGAAAAAGCCAAAAACUAUUGAAGUUGGAGACCUUAUUAUUAUUAUUAUUAUUAUUAUUAUUAUUAUUAUUAUUACUACUACUACUGUAUAUUAUUAUUAUUAUUAUUAUUAAUACUAAAAAAAAUAUGGUGUUAUGACCCAUGAGGUUCAGUACUGUCUUUGUUUUCCAACUGGACCCAGCAAAUGGAUUUUGAAAAUGAAUUAACAGAAGAAACAUGUUAAUUAGUCAAAUACAAAUUGUAAUACAUAUACUCUGAACCAUAAGAAAGAACAAAGCAAAGGACAAUUUAGAAAAACAUUAGACAGUGAUAGAAAACAACAGAGUUGGCUAGUGGAGAAGAAAAUUUUAAAAAAUAAAUAAAUAAAAAAGAACCAACUUCUUCUGUGGAAGUAAAACAUAAAAACAAUCAACAAUCAAAUCAAGUUCAUGUAGAAGAAAAAAAUUACUAGCAAGAGAAAAUUCCAGAACCAAUAAAAAAUGUAAAAUAUUGAGUGAGUAUUAAACUUUUAUGAAGAUUAAAAGGCAAAUAGAAAAAAUAAGUCAAAGGAAGGAAGUAUAAGGUAGUCUUUUAAGGGUAAAAAGGACAAUAAUAAAAAGUGUGCCCCACACUGAAGAUUAUUUUCUUGGAACACAACACCCCUUUGCCAAAAGUAUGUUUCUUUGCAAAAUGAAAAAGAAAAAAAAAAAAAAAAUUCAUGAAAAUUCAUUUUGGUUUUCUGGUUUCUGGGUUUUCCAUACCUUUAUAUACUAGUUAGAAUAACGUAGAACCAAUAGAAGCAAAUAGUGAGAAAAAAAAAGAAUAAGAGACAUUCAAUGAGGUACUCCCUCCAUUUUUAAAUUGAAUGAACAAUUUGUUUAUAUUUAGAUACGGAGGGAGUACCUAAAAUAAUAUUCUCAUAUGUUAAUUAUAAGAGAUAUUUAAUAAAUAAAAGUUAAUGUAUUUGAAGCAGAGUUAAUAUAUUUGAAUCGGAUCCAUCAACUUUUAUUCCGCAAAUAUGUAUCUGAUAAAUGAGAGAGUCUACUAUUUGACUGACCAUUUGUGUGAUACAUGAAUGUGGGAACAGAAAAAAAGAAUGACUGUCAAAACAGAAAGAUAGGAGGAUAAAGGAGCCAAAUCCUCUAAAGUCCAACCUUUCAAAUGACAAGGGCCGUUAGAUUAAUCCAAGGUCUGAUAUCAUGCCACGUGUUACUUGUUAUUUCUUCCUCUUUAAUUAAAGAAAAAACUGCAACAAUUAGAAGAGCAAAAACAGCAACAUCUCCACCCGUUCACCACCGUCGUCGCCACACCAUUGUUCAUUCAUGUGAUUUUACAACAAUCUCUUUGUUUAUGAAAUUCGGUGGUCGAAGCGGCAUCGAUGACGGUGGUCAACGGAGUGGUGAGGCUGAAGCUCAACGUGUGGAGGCAACAGUCUGUUUUGCCCUUCAGUAACUCUGAUGCAGUUUCUUUUUUAAGAAAGAAAAACAAAGACGUGUGUGAGAGUGUGUGUUUUGUGUUUGUGUGUGAGAGAGUCAGAAAGAGAGAGAGAGAAGAACGUACACAAGUUUGUAGUAUGGGACAAGAGACAGAGAAACUUAAAGAUGUUGAAAGUUUAAGUCAGUUGCUGAGGUCAAGAUUCACCUCAAUAUGCAAUAGUAUAUAUAGGCACAUUAAAUUAAGGUUCAUCUCAAAUUCAUGUUUGCUCAUACAAUAUGGACGGAAUUACGGUAGAGAGAGAAAGUGCAAAGAGAGUGUGUGUUGGUGAAUAUCCAUCCAAUUAAUCAAAAUAUUAUUUCCUAUAUUUUGUACUUGAUUCUUAUCCAUUCUUAUUUUAGAUAUUAAAUUUGGCUCUAGUAUGUAGUAGUAGACAGGUAGUAACACUGUAUUCCUGAAUUUAGUUCAAUUGAUAUAUAUGAUGUAUAAAAAUAUGUAAGGUCUGAAGUUCAAACCCCGACCAUCAUAGAAAAAAAGACUAAUAGUAAUAGUGAUAUUAGUUUAAUCGAAGGAUAUUAAGUAAUUUACGCAUAGGUUACUUAUUUAUCUUAAGAGAUGAAUUCUAACAACUAUUGUAUUUGACAAAAAAAUAAAGUUGAGUAGAACUAAAUUUAAAUUUCUUAAAUAAUGUAUUAUUGAAGCGAGUCAUGUAAAUGAAAAAAUGUGAUUGAAGCUCUAAGUUUGAUCAAAUAGUAAAAAGACAUGCUUUGAAUAUGAAGAUUUCAAGUUCGAUCGAUCAGUGUUCUUAAAUUGAGGUAAAUAAAAAUAUUUUUAUAAAUUAUGUGUAAACCUUAAUGUCUUCAUGACUGAGACAUUAUCUUCUCACUUUAAAUUUUCUUCAUUGGAAAAAAGGAUUGAAAUGGUAAAACCCAUUGAAAAUGAAGUAAAUAGAAAUGUUUUUGUAAAUAAUUUAUAAAUCUUAAUGUCUCCGUAACUGAGAUAUUAUCUUCUCAUUUUAAAUUUUCUUUAUUGAAAAAAAGGAUUGAAAUGGUAAAACCUAUUGAAAGUGACUAUUCGGAUUUUCGAGUAGAUUAUCAUUUUUUUUUUGUGGUGGUCAGAGUUUGAACAUAGACAUUGCAUAUAUUAUGUAUUAUCUCUGUCUACUGAGUUAAGCUUAAAAUGACCGAAUAGAUUAUCAUUGACAACAUCGGUGGAUAUUUGCGAAUUAUUAUAUGGUCAGAAGAAGAAAAAUACAUUCUUAUUCAUUGACUAUUUCAGUGGAUAUUUGCAAAUCAUUACAUGGUUAGAAAAAAAAAUCCAUUCUUAUUAAAAACAACACCGUUCUUAUCCUUUCCGCCUUUUUCCUAAUAUAUUUUACUUUCUUUGGUUACACUAAUAUUUUUUUUUCAAAAACAAAAUUAACCCACUUAAGAUAGUAUCGUGAAUAAUUAAAUUUGAGAUCUUAAAAGUAACACAUUCUAAGGUCACAAGCUAACACUACUAAACCAACUCAAGUGAAUUAGUCACAUUAAUAAUGUUACCUUUAAAAAAAUGUUUUACAAUUUCCUCUAAAAAAAUGUAUUACUAUCUAAAAACGUUCAUGGUUUUUUUUUACAUCGUUCAUGUUCGUUUUAUUUUUAUAGCUACAUACCACUUUUUUUUUCUUUUUUUUUCUUUUGAGAGAAGCCACAUACCACUUGCAUACCAAAAUUAUAAUAUACGAUUUAUAGAAAAAUAUGAUUCAUGAUUUUUUUUUAGUAAAUAGAUGAAACGAGACAAUAGUCAUUAAAAAUUUACACAUAAAAGUGAAUGAAUCGAGGUUGAAACCUCGAUCACGCGUCCGACCUGACAAUUUGGUACUUAUGUCGGUUAACACUUUAUAAUUUUUCAAAUUUUAUAUGCAAUUUAUAAUUAGAAUUUAUUUUGAGAGGAUGAUUAUAAUUUUCUUGAUAGAAAAAAAUAUUGCAAAAUUAUUUUGACUAAACUCAAUUUUUUUUUUUUGAAACAACAAAUUUUAUUUAACCAUCAGGUCCGGGCUCAAGACGAACUGAAAUCAUUGAAACUGAGAAUACAACCUAAAGGCGUCGUAUAUAGGCGGAACACCCUAAAAAAAAACACCUUAAAAAACACCCUUGAGGACAACACCCGCCAAAAUACACGUCACCACCUAAAACAAACUCCUUCACGAAAACGACCACUGUAAAAACGACAUCCCACAACACCCAUCGUCACUACUCACCCCCCAACGAAACACCCGUCAAAAUUAAACUCUAAGUCCUCAACACCAAAGUUGAGCCACAUCCGAAAAGAUCAAUCAGCUUCCACCACCUCGCGGCCUCCGAUCCACCAAAAGAAACCAUAUAAAGCAAAAAACCAAACUUGAGCCAAAGAACUGACUCCCGAUCUUGAAUCAAAAGUGAUCGGUCCACCAAAUUUUAGGACAAAAUUAGAAGGACACCCCUCACCCCCGGUACACCAGAGAAACACCAAAUCAAGCCAAACAAAAUUGCAGCUAGACACCGACUCCCGAUCUCGAAGCAAAAGUAACUGGCCCACCGGAAACCACCACACAAAAGUAAGACAAACGACAAGGCAAGUAGUGGUGCAAACAACAAACCAAUCAAAAGGAAUAGACUAAGCUCAACGGGACCUGCUCCCUCCAAACACCUUAAACACCUUAACAAUCCAAAAAACUCAAACAAGAGCUAGUGACGACGAAUAAGGACCCGAGUAACAGCGACAACCUCCAGAAGAAAUCACCCCAGCAAACACCCUCCUCCUCACCUAAACAACACCAAUCACCGGCGCGAACAAGCAAAAUCUGAAGCCCACAACCACCGGUGCGAACAAACCCCAACCACCACGAUCCUUACGAUCACAAACGAUUUGGGAGUUCGUUGAAGGAGGAUUAAUCGUGAAUGAAAGAGAUGCCGCCACAACUGUAGUCAUCGGAAACGGACCACACCUAUCGGCACCACACAUCACCCCCUCCACACCACACGUCCGUCACCACCACCGACCACCUCGUCACCACCUACACUCCAAACCAAACCACUAACCAACAACCGACACACCUUCCGCCGCCGGAAAACGGACCACACAUCCUAACCACCCACUUCGGCUCCCUCCCCAAAACCACUCAAACAUCUCACUCUCCCUUCCUAGCCACCACAAAACCACCACCACCACCACCUCAGAACCACCCCAACUUUGUUCGACACCACCACCACAUAACCACCAUAAACACCACAUAUUAACACCUUCUCACCACCACACUAAAACCAACAACCACAUAACUCGUGCCCAAACAUCAGAGGUCGCCGACUUAGCAGACACCGUCGGAAACCGAUGAUGGAGGAGGAGUGGGCAGCUCGCCGGAGGACAAAGGGACACGCGGUGGUGCGGCCUUGAAGGACGCCGGAUGUAACGACCCAGUAUUUUGUGUAUAUUAUAUAUGUCCAUUUUAUUUUACUAAUGAAGCAAUAGUUAUAUAAUUUUUAUUUAUUCAUUGGUAAAUUAGGAAUAGGGACGUGACCGACUUAAAUGCUUCUUGCUACACUAUUAUUCUUAAUUAAUUUUGGGACUAUUAGUAAGUUAUGAUAUUAAAAAUGUCUAGAACAAGAAAUAGGAAAACUUUAUUGUCUUUAAAUUCUCUUAAUUCCUUUUUCUAGUCGAAGUUUAUGUAUAUUUCCAUUUGGUGUGCCACGACUAGGUGUAAGAAUCAAAAGAAUUAUUUGCUUUUAAUUUCUUUCAUGGUCCAUGAGGAGCUGGUGAUAUAUUUCAUUUUCUUGCCUCAUUAAGGGAUGAUUGACCUUUGUAUGCUCUGCUUUUAAUUCCAUGCAAAUUGUCAUUAAGAAAAUAAUAUUAUGUCUUAAUUAUUUAUCAAUGCGUCUGUUAUUUCCCUUUAAGAUUGUAGUGUUAUUCUCAUGUACCUUCAACAUCGAUCUUUACAUUCUUUUUAAGACACCCCUUGCUGCCAAAUCCAGUCAUGCCACAAAAGAACCAAAAGCUCUAGUUUCAUAUUGUACCAAAACAGCAAAAUUGAAAGAAAAAUAAAUAAUCCUUUCCCAUCUAACAGUCAUCGGCCACCUCUCCUUACUACUUCAACUUUGUGCAAAGUCUUAAAGAAUCUCAAAGCUUGCUUGUGCGUUUUGGUUUGAAUUCAGUUUUAGGGUUGUCUUGUUUGGAAGGAAAGCGCCUUAAGUAAGAUCUUUUUCCGCAUACGUUCUUACUAAGUGUUGGGACCGUGUUUUAAAAUAGUGGUAGAAAUUUUUGUCGUUUGAAAGAAAAAUAAUACGAAUAAUUAAAAUAUAUAUUUAAUAAAGUUUGGAUUUAUUUAUGAAAUUUAUAUAUGAGAAUGUGGUAUCGAUUUUUAUUAUGUUUUAUAAGCUUUGUGAUGUUUGAGAAUGUAAAAAGAUGUAUUUUGUUUAAGAUUUCAUUGUGUGGUUGCCUUAGUGGCUGGGUUAUACUUUGAUUUUGCCUAAGUGGCUAGAAUAUAUAUUUUUGAAAAUUAAUCAUCAUGGCAUAGCAUAUGCAUAGCCUCUGUGGCUUGUUUCAUUAUCAUCACAUUUGCAUAGCCUGUGUGGCUUGUUUAACCUUUGUGGUUCGUUUUAGCCUGUGUGGCUUGUUUAGCCUGUGCGACUCGUACUUAGCCUGUGUGACUUGUGUAUAUUCGGAUCAUGUAGUACUUAAGAGCAUGCAUCUCAUGCAUAAUUUUAUUUGAGUUAUUUUCUUAAAACAUGGCUCGAGUAUAAUUUUAUUUCUUUUUUAUCGAGAAGAUUUCAUGCUAUCUAUUUUAGAGCAUUGUUUCUUGUGCUUUUAGUAUGAACCAAUUUGGAUAAGGAAAUUGACUCUUACAUUAAUAUAAUAUUGUAGGUACCAAAGUUUGAUAUAUGAAGCUUGAUGUGCGGUGAAUCGCGUACGGGAACAAAUUGGAUUUUUCAAUGAAAAAGAAGACUAGUCUUUAUUUAGUUGUAAUUGUAAUUUAAAUAUUUUUGAAAUUUACUAUAGAGUUGAUAUUUAUUCCAUUAAAAAUUAAAGUAAAUAAAUAUAUUUUUUAAAAGCCUUUUCAAGAGUAAAUAAUCUUAAUUAAUGUCUUGGAUGAAAAUCCGGGACAUUACACCUGACCAUCAGAAUCAAGGCUCCAACUUAGGUAAACGGAGUUUGGAUAACAAGGGAGAAAGGAAGAGAACUUGGUUAAUGUCAAAAACUGCUCCAGACUCGUAGAUCUGCAAAAAACGACCACCACACACUCGCCGCCGUAGCCACCGGCGACAGCUCUGUGCAGUACUCCGAUGAUGUGGAGACUCUGUUGAAUCAUCUCUUCACACCACCAUUCUACUAGAUCUACAUGAUGGAAACAGGUUUUUGGAUUUGAGGGAAAAAGGGAGUACGGCUCGGAAGUGAAACUUAGAGAGAAGGGAGAGAAAAUUUUCGAAGAGAGAGAAACGUGCUUCUCUAUCACCAAACUAUUUAGACUAAACUCAAUUCAUUUGAAAUUUGUUUAUGAUUCAAAUCCAAAUGGAAGAAACUUGUAUUAAGAAUGUUUGAAGUCCUGAAUUCCUCAAACCAUCACAGAGGUCAACUUGAUAAAUCAAUCAACAAAACAAAUUCAAUGCAAAACAAUCAAAUUUGUUUGGUGCAAUGUAAGAUUUUAUUGUUUUUGUCUGUGGUGUUUUUACCAAACAAAUGGAUCGUACGUAUAUUAGAAUAAUAAUAAUGAACUACCGAUGGUAUUAGAUUCUUUAUUUUUUUCUCUCCUAUAAACUUAACUAAGUUUUUUUUUUUUUUAAGAGGAACUUAACUAAGUUGAUGAUAGAGACAUUGUAUAAUAUAUGUAGGGGUCGGAGUUUGAAUCGCAAACACUUCACUUACUCACUUUUACUUCGACACACAAGUCUAAUAUUUCCUAACUCUUCUUGAGGAUUUUCUGCGAUCAGAGUUUACAAUAAGUUGAUUGUUGUUUACACUUUAGACUUAAAGAGUGGUAAACUAAAUUAAGCCCAAAUGAUCUCUAAACACUUAAAAAAAUUUAAGAAAAUUCGUAAGAAUUGUUUUCCUAAGUGUUUUUGUGCUUGAAAUUUAAUCAAAGUUUUGGCACAAUUGAAAGCGUGUAGUUAUUUUCUGUCUUCAAAAUCAUAAGGUUGUUUGAAGAUAUUUCCAGCUUAUCAAAAGCUUUCUUCAAGUUUGAAAAAUUUAACUCUAAAGGUGCGUUUGAUUUGUUAAAAAAUGAACAACUGUUCAAAACUUCUUUGGUUCUUUUAGAAUGAUCUGUUGCAUCCACUUUGUCUUAUAAGAGCUUUGUCUGUUUCUGCAACGUGUUAUUCAUUUAAUUCAGCAAUGUCAGAACGUACUACAAAACUUGGACAAUGAUGUUUCUUCAAAAGAAGACCAAUUUAGUCAGAUAUUCUUUAGAGUGUUGACCACCAACUUUAUCCUUCAGAGUUUUGCCUUCAGAUCAGAGCUUGUUUUCAUAACUUGAUGCACACUUGAUUAGAGCUUUGACUUUUUGUUCAUCAUCUUCAGAUCAGAGCUUUGUCAUCAGAGUUUCGUCUUAGGUACCAAAUAUGUUUAACUGUGUUCAGAGCUUAGUGUUUUAGGGCUAGAAUGUUGACUUCAGAGUCGGAAUAUAAUUCUACGGUUAUUCACACUUCAAUAAAAUUCCGAGUAUCUAAUUUUUCUUCUAUACAUUGUUAUAAUCAAAACCUUAAAGACAUUGUUCUAAAAUCUACUUUGGUUCAACAAGGAGUGGAGCUGGUCGGGAGAGGAAGUGUGGAGAAGGUCUCGCACAGAAGAGAUGAAAGGGAGCUAGUGAGGAGGGUUGAAAUGUUGAGGGUAGUGGGAGGAGAUAAAACAAAAUAGAAUAAUGAGAAAAUGGAAAAUAAAGGGGAAAUAGUCAUUCAAUGUGUUACUAUAGAAGUUCUUGGAGAAUGACUAUGGAAAAAGUUAAACAAUUUGAGGGAGUGAGAGGGGAGAAAAAAAGAGUGCAGGGGGAUGAUCGUUCAAUAUAUUUAAGAGCAAUGCUAUACAGUGCGACAGAUUGUCAGCAAGAACCUGAACAAAUGCGUCUUCGAAAUUUUAACUAUCAAGAAAGUAAAAAUACAUGAUUUUUUUUCUUGAUUAAGUUGCCUAGUGGAUCUUUAGAACUCACUUUUUAAAAUGAAUAAAUGAAAAAUUCUGAAUUCGAACUCCAAUCAUAUAUAUUGCAAUGGCCCAUACAUGAUUUUUUUUUUUUUUUUUUUGGGCGUGUGAGACCUUCACAAUAUGAAUUUUUAGUUUCCACACAUUAGGUUCCCUUAAAAUUUUAAUAGAAAAAAUUAUUCGUUACCCUAAUUUUAUCGGGCAUGGCGGUUGUUGUUGAAAACCCCACAGGACAAAUUUUCAUUUGUUCUAAGAGAUGAUUGAUUGAUCGUAAAGGAGUUUUUUUUUUAAUGUCUACAGGGUUGGACCUGUCAAUAAAAUAGUUAGGAAAUACACAUUAUUUUUGUAGUGAGAGCUAUUUAUGGUCCAAUCUUCCCCAUAUAACUUGUUUAUUUGCACCAAAUAUGCCACAUGAUCAAAGAUAUAUAAAAGUAUCAAUUUAGGCACUAUGUUUUGCAAUAACCACAAAAAAUAAUUCAAGUCAGCCUAAUCACAAAUAUGUAGAAAAGUAAUGAAAACAAUUAUAAAUAAAUACUUUUCCUCUAAAGAAAUAAAUAAAUAAAUAUUUUUCUCUAGGUUUUAUUUACCUUUUAGCCGAACUCCAAAUUAUCAUGACCCAUUUCUCAUAAAAAUUGAAGGUACAACACAGAAUAUAAAAUAAAAUACUUCCUCUCCAAUAAAGACAUCUGAACCUAAUUUCUUAUCUCUAGGCCAUCGCUUUCAUUUCUUAUGGAGAGAUGAUUUUGUGUGUGUUUUUUUUACCUGAAAUCACUCAUCUUCAUAUUUUAAUCUAGAUAAGUGAUUUUCACAUAGAUAUAAAAAAUUUCUUUUGUGAUUUCGUCGUUGCGGUGGGGCGUUGUUUGUCCGUCGUCUUGACACAUCGUUGUUUGAUUUAUCACAUUCGUACGAUGUUUGUAUGAUUCAGAUAGCUGAUAUAUCUACUUCAAUCAAUUAUAAAUUCAAUCAAAUGACUGGUCUUCAACGUUACAAAUCUGAAGACAUUGGUAUUUCAAUCACUUUAAUUUUGUCAUAUUAUUUGUACGCAUUUUGUUGUCUUAUGUUAUUAAUUUGGAUGCCACUAAUUUUUUUACAAUUUCAUCCUUUUUUAUUUUAACGAUGAUGAAUUUGUUUUUGAUUAUGAUAUACUCUACUAAUUCAAAUCAAAUAAAUAUAAUUUCUUUUAAUCCAUUUUUUUUUAUAUAAAUACACUUAUAAUUUACUAGUUAAACUUUUCCUAUAAUUGAAGUUUUGAAUUGAUUAUAAGCACUUGCUCACACAAUUUACUCAUUAGGGUGAAGGAAUAAUACCGAAUUGCAACCAAUAAUUGUUUGUACAUUUUAUGAAGCCAAAUAGCUAAUGCCACUUGCCAAUAAAUUAAUACUACUAACAAAGCUUUGCAAUCCACAACUAAGUGGUACUAUGUUAGUGAUUUGUGUGAGUAGAUUUUUAUUAUGAGAAAGAUAGUGACAGAUAAUUUGCGAACUUUUACUUGACUCGAACCAUUUUUUAAGGCUUUGGUCAUGUGAUUAAUUUGUACAUUACGACACAAGGAAAGUUAAAAGAGUUAAAACUUAAUGGCAAAGAUCUUGAAAAACGAUCGUCACAGGAAUUGAGAUAGCUCUUCUCUAUAAAUUGAAUAAAUGUUACAUAUAUACCCACAUGCCUACAAACCUUUGAGAGGUUUGUGUCAGAAAGUCUAGUCCCUAUAAUUAGUACAAUAUUAUGUUAUGUUAAACGGUCCAAACUCCUCAAAGGGCCAACUUUCUUGCUUCAGAUUAGUCGUCUUCUUAAUUUGAUUCUUACUCUUCUCUUUCUUCUUCCUAAAGAGUUUAAUGCCAAAACUAACACAAAAUAAGUUAUGAAUAGAGAAAUGUGGGUUCUAUCCACGGCUCACAUGUCAAAUGUCUUUUUUUGUAUGUAAGGAUAUGUACAUUAAAAGACAUAAUUUUGAUCUAAAAUAAAUCCUAGUAUCUAGAGAGAUAAAGUUUUAGCUCCAUGUUAGGUAAUACUCAUAAUUAAGUUUUAGCUCCAUGAUAGAGUAUUAUAGUACUUGGUCUUGUAAAUGUGGCUGAGACAAAAUUAAUAGACUUUACUUUUUGGAGGGGAGUGGAAGAGAGGACAUGUGUAGGAUAGAAUAUGUAUAGGAAAAAGAUUGAGAAAUAUUUUACAUUUUAAAUUUUUAUUUAUUUUUGUAGAGAAUCAUAAAUUAACUUUUAUAAUUAAUAUAUUUUUCAAUUUUAAGAAUAUUAUAACAAAUUAAAUUAAAUUUGAAGAAUUCAUAAACCCUCUCUAAUACAAUUAUUGAAUUUCACAAAAUUAAGGAACUUUUGUACUAUCGAAAAAAACUAAAUGGUCCAAAAUCAACCCUUCCAACACUCUAUUUUUUUUAUUUUAAUCAUUGUGCAAUCCUAUUUCCUUUAAUAAAAACAAGACACGUGGAUAAGUUGAAAACAAUGGUUCUGAUUCAUUAUAAUGCUGAAAAGAAUUUAAAUGAAGCGUUAAACAGUAUACACGACACAAUAAGUUGAAACAGGAGGGGACAAGCGGUGGCAAGCUAAGACGACGAGUCCCUUAAUUUUUCUCUAAACGUAUAAAGUUGAAGCUAGCGCCGCAUAAAACGUGUGGAAAAAAUAUGCUGAAAUCAGUGAUCUCGUCAUCUAAAAAGUCCACAAUAUUUUUCUUCUUCUUUUCUCUCAAUAUGGAAAAUGUUGCCAUUUAUUUACAUCAAAAGUAAAGUAGCACUCCUUUAUCCAUGAUAAGAUCUUUUUAGUUUGUUUUGUUGGAUCCAUUUAAGAAAACAACAAAAUCGUACACUAUAUGAAUAGUAGUAUCUUCAACCUAUCACCGCAACACCGGCCAUAGUUGUGUGCUGAUUUUGCUUUGACUGUUUAUUGACAUGCCUAAAAGUUUUCUUUUAUUAGUGUCUCUACUUUCAUAUAUAGGUGUUCUCUAUUCAUUCAUAGUUUUUUUUGUUGUUUAGGAUUUAAACUCCGAAUCAUACUUUGUAUAUAUUAUGCAUUGUCCUUAUCAACUAUUCAUUUAUAGUUUAAAAUCAAAUUAAAAUGACACUAUUUUGAGUUAUUUUAAAGUUUGUUAAUAAUAUCAUGAGGUGUGGCUUACUUUAAAGCUCGAAAUAAAACGAAGUUGUGAAAGUUUUUAUCACACUCAAUUAUAAAAAGUCCAAUAAACUAGUUUAUAAACAUGUAUGAUUAAAAAAGUUUUGUUUGGUAAUGACCAUUUUAACGUGAGUAUUUCACUAGUGUAUAACUUAUUUUUUAUACAUUAUUUUAAAUAGUAUUUGAACUAAUAAUUUAUUUCAUUUUAUCAUUAUUGUUUUAUUUAAAAUUCAUUUUUAACUUUUAUAAUUUAAUAUAAUUUAAAAUAAUUGAUAUAGUUACUUUAAUUGUUGAACAUGUACAUAUUUUGAUUGUUAGGUAAAUAUAAGAAUUCAAGGAAAACAUAAUCAAGUGUUAACAAUAUAUAAUACCUUCAUCGAACAAAAAACCUCCGUCCAUCUUAAUUGUUUAUAAAAUAAAGUAUAAACAGUUAAAUAGAAAAUAAAUAUAAAAUAAGUGUUAGUAUAUAAUAACAAAGAUAUAUUAAAUUAAUAAAUUUAAGUUACUAAAUUAUAAAUGUUUAAAUAUUAAUUGAUAUUAAUUUUAUUAUGAAUGAAGAAUGUUCGUUCAUGGCAUUUUAUAUUUAUCAAUUGAUUGAACCUUUAAUUUUAUCAAACACACCAUUAUCAAUUAAUUUAUCAAUAUUUAUUAUUUUCACCAAACAGAAGGUAAGACUCUAUUCAGUCGAACAAUCAUAAUGCCAUAGCCACACUUAUUUUAUUUUUAACAGUCCUUUUUUUUUUUUUGAAGAAACAGUCCAUUAUUGUUGGAUGCAAUGUUUUUUGACAACUUGUUGUUAGCAAAAUUAUUUCUUUGAACUUUAGCCAAUCUCCAUCAAAAUUUCCCACUUCUCUAAAAUGGUCACUACUAACAAACAACUAACAAGUCAAGUAGAAAUAGGUAAUAUGAAUAGGACUGGACUGGAAUAAACGUGUUUAUAAAGUGCUUACGUCAUCAAUGGUUCAUACCCCAGUCCAUGUUUGCCCAUACCAUUCAUUUUUGCGUUUGACAUGCACCAUCCCCAUAUUGAUGAACAGAGUACAUUGCAGUCCACUAUUCAAAUGGGGACUAUUUCAUCAUUCUUAUAGAGACUUCCACAUGGGAAAUAUACCAAAAUUGGAAACAAUCGACUUUAUUGAUAUACCAAAAUAAAAUCAUGUUAACUACUUUGUGAUGAAAUUGAAAUAAUGGUGAAUUUCUUUUGGUGGAACCAUUCGGGAGGUCAAAAUAGAGAUAUUAACCGACUUUUUUUGGGAUAAACUGUCUAUGCACAAGAAUAAUGGACGUAUGAGUUUCAAAAAUCUACCUACCUUUAAUCUAGUUAUGUUAGGAAAACAUGGUUGGAGACUUAUGACAAAUCCUGAUUCUUUGGUAGCUAGACUUUACAAGGCAAAAUAUUAUCUCAGGUGUAAUUUCUUUGAGUCGACUUUAGGACAUAAGCCUAGAUUUGUAUGGCGAAGCAUAUGUAACUCUAAAUUUAUUCUCAAAGCUGGAAGCAGAUGGAGGAUAGGCGAUCAUGAUGAUAUCUUGAUUUGUUAUAACAAGUGGAUUGCAAAUGAUAUUACACUUAUCCCACAUGUUGAUGGAGAUUUUCCUUUAGCUGAUCUAAGUGUCUCAGAUUGUAUGCUACAUGACCGCAAGGAAUGAAUUUACCUUUCCUGCAGUCAAUUUUUGAUCACUAGGUGGUUGAACAUAUAGUGAAGACACCGCUCUACCCAUCAGUGAUGGAAGAUCGACUCAUCUGGAAAAAAGAAAAUCAUGGUGAAUACUAUGUUCAUAGUGCAUACCAUUUUUGUGUGCAAGAAUUACUUGAUACAUCCCAUUUCAAGGUACAAGGCUCUUGGAAUCUAAUUUGGAAGCUCAAGAUUCCUCCAAAGGUAAAAAAAUUUGGCAGAUUUGUAGGAAUUGCUUACCAACUUGUGUACAUUUAAAAGAUAAAAGAGUCACAUGCGAAAUUUAUUUUUUACUACCCUACUUUUUUUGCCAAAAAUGCCCUACUUUUUAUGGGCUACCCGACACACCACAACUCCAAGUUAUGGGGUACCCUGAAAGUUUGUGAAAAUUUUGUCUUUAUUAUACCCCACAACUCCAAGUUGUGAGGUACUUUAUAUAUUUUCUUUUUUAAAUACCCCAUAAGUCAAGAUUGUGUGGUAUUUUAUUUUAUUUUUUUUAAAUUUAAAUACCCCACAACUCCAAGUUGUGAGGUACUUUAUAUAUUUUCUUUUUUAAAUACCCCAUAAGUCAAGAUUGUGUGGUAUUUUAUUUUAUUUUUUUUAAAUUUAAAUACCCCACAACUCCAAGUUGUGAGGUACCAUGAGGUUGUGUCCUGUCAGCGCAUACCAACUUGGGUAACGUGUUUUGACUAAAUUUUUUGAAAUUUAGUUUUAAUAAAUUAAUUAAAAUAUAUUAUUUCAUCUACUAUAAAUACUUCCUUUAAUCUUUUAAUUUAUCACACAAUUUCAUCUUUUAUUCUUACUUCUUCUCUUAACUUUCUUUUUUUCAUUUUGACAAUGCCGAAUGCAAUAUGUUCCACCGUUAAAUUUGAGCAUAUAAAUCGACAGUUCACUGGUUGGAUGUUAGAUCAUGUUGAUACGUUAUCAGAAUUAAUAGAUGUUUUCAACUACUUUGUCUACUUGUCAAAUGAUCCUACUCGAAGGGUGACACAUAUUGUACAUGUAGAGCUGUACUACUCGUUGGAUGAAGUCCACAAUGACCGGAAGUUAAGGUAUGAUUGUAAGACUCUUGAAAGAGACAUUGAAUUGGAACACAUGUUUCGGUGGAGAACAAACACAGGAGACCUGUUUGUGAAAUUAAUGUUGAGUAGAUUAUGUUAAGUCAUCUUGUGUUAGGUAAUGUAAUCUUAUGUUUUAUGAAUUUUAAUUUUUGUAACUUUAAUUUCGUGUUCUACUAAUUAAUGGUGUAUUGUGUAAUUUUCAUUUUAAUAUGGUUAAAAAAAAAAUGUUAUUUACAUUUUAAUAGCAAGUAUUUUUAAUAAUUUGUUGCAUUAUUUUGGACAAUAUAUUAAUAAUGUUAAUUUAGGCAUUAAUACUGAUAUAUUUGGAGUUGUGGUGUAUUUAUUUUAUUUUUUUUAUAAAAAUCAGAAAAAUACCACACAAUCUUGACUUGUGGGGUAUUUAAGAAAGUAAAAAAAAUUUAUAUAAAGUACCUCACAACAUGGAGUUGUGGGGUAUAAUAUAGACAAAAUUUUCACCAACUUUAAGGGUAUCCCACAACUUGGAGUUGUGGGGUGUAAGGUGGCCUAAAAAAUGUAGGGUAUUUCUCAUUUUUUUUUUUAAAAAGUAGGGUAGUAAUUUUUUUUUUCGUCACAUGCCCUAUGAAUUGUACACUGUAUACGGUGAGCAAUGAAGAUACACUUCAUUUAUUUUUCAAUGACCAAGUAGCUUACAUGUUUGGAGUAUGCUUCCUUUCUUUUCUUCUAUUUCUAUUUUGCUACAACAAGAUAUGGAUAGCAAGAAUCUUAUCUUCAAUGCAUUACAUGAUUUAUCUAAGGACGAUGUAACUUUAUUUUGUUCUGUGUUGUGGAGUAUAUGGAAACAAAGAAACAACAAAGUGUGGAAUGAGGUAAUUGAUCCUCCAGUUUAUGUUGUCGAGAGAGCAAAAGUUAUGCUUUAUGAUUGGCAAGAUGCACGUAGGAUUUGUAAUACAUCUUGUGCACAACCGCGACAAGAAGGAAAUGUGAAAUUGAUCAAACCAGCUGAAGGAAGAUUUAAGUCCAAUAUUGAUGCUUCUUUCUCCUAACUUUCUACUAGAGUGGGAAUAGGAGUUUGUAUAAGGGAUGAUACAUGCACUUUUGUUUUGGUAAAAACUGAAUGGUUUACUCCAGUUUGUGAGGUACAUGUUGGCGAAGCUCUUGGACUAUUUCCAGCUUUAGAAUGGGUUCAUCACUUAUAAUUAGGACCUAUCGAUUUUGAGCUUGAUGCUAAAAAAGUGGUGGAUAGUUUUUCAUCUGCACAUCAUGAUGUUACAUAAUUUGGGAUGAUUAUUCAUAAUUGUAAAACUAUCUUUGAACAAUACUAUGUCAACUCUAGUGUUGAGUUUCUGAAGAGACAAGCAAAUGAGGUAGCCCAUAGAUUUGCUAAGGCGGCCACAUCCUUGACUAGUUUCUAGAUUUUGGUAAAAAUACCAGAUUGUAUUGAACACUUUUAAGUAAUGAAAUGAUAUAAGUUUCUUUCCUUAAAAAAAAAAAACUACUUUGUCAAAAAAAUAUAUAACAAUUUGCUAACUUUUAUUUCCUCUCAAUUUUUUUUUUCAUUUUUUAUUUGAUUUCUCUUAUGCAUCCUACAAUUAAUGUUAUGUGAAAGAGACAUUGAUGCUCUAUUCUAGAAAAAUAUAUAUCGGUCCUAUUAUCAUGAAAGACAAUAUCAUUUUUUUUUAUACAUAUUUUUUUAAAGCCAAAAAGCAAAUUAAUUAAAAAAGAUACAUGAAGUAUAAGGCUGGGGGACAUGCACCUGACCUAGUAAAACCAGAAAAACAAUCCAAAACGGGUGAUACAACGAUUCAGUACAUAGUGGUAUUAAAAAAACAACCCUAAACAAUCACUACCACAGAUAAUCCAGCGAACAUACGUAUGAGCGUGAAACCGAAUUGCAAAAAAAACGUAGAGUGAUCAUUCAGAGUAUUGAGUAGGCGUAUUGAUCGUCUGCCAACACAGAAACGAUCCAAGUUCCACAAAUCCCAUCUAAAUGAAGCAGGUAAAACGCCUUUUCAGGCCAAUCUAACCAUAUACGAACCGAAGCCCGGAGUCGCAUCGGUCAUCAAACUUCAGCUGUAGUCCAGACGAGGGAUGAACAGACGACGAAAAUUCAACACAGUCCAUCAAAGACGCGCAACGCAACCGUGACAAAUAAAAUCUUAAGGUACAAUUAGCGAAAACUACCGUCAAUACGGAGCUUCUACGCACCUAGCCCUUUCAAGCAUCAACAAACUAGAGAACCCAAUCUCAACUCCGAUAAACCAGAAUCAAGAUAUACAAACAAACCAGAACAAACCAAGUCGGAAACAAACCCACCACCCAUCAACACUUUACCUAAAGACAAUAUCAUAUGAGCUUACUUUACCUAUAAAAAAAAAAAAAAAAAAAUUAUAUGCACUUAGGGUGGGUCAUUUAAGUGGAUUAUGUGUGCAUUUUACGUAAUGGACGGUCGAAUAAUUUCAAUUUCUCAAAUGUUAAAUGAUUUACUCAUCCAUUGUUGUAUAUUGAGGUUUUUUAGAAGAAAAAAAAAGUAAGAUUUAGGAAGACACCCUUUCCCUUGACUUUGAGGACGGAAAAUAUCUAAGCAUGUCAUCUUAUAAGCUCUAUAUUAAUGAUACUUUUGAUGUUUAAUUGCAUAACACAAAAUUUGAACCUAUUAAAUUAUGGAAAAUGUUGUUCCCAUAAACAUAGUUCAGUUGACAUAAACGUUGCGGUAUCUAGGGGUUGGUAUUCAAACCUCAAAUUCCUUAUUUAUUUAUCUUAAGAGGUGCUAUUUGACAAAAAAAAAAAAAAAUGGUAAAUGAUGUUUGUCGUUAAAAAGCUUUUCACUUUUAACUCAUGUUUUUUUUGGUUUGUGCUAAGAACUGAAUUCAAUGUUGGUUCCCUUUAUAAAUUGUGCACGUAUUGUUUUGCAUAUUUUUUGAUCAAAUUCGUACCAGCUUAUAUUUCAAAUGGGUUUUCCUUGUAAAUGAAUUCCCAUCAUCCGGGUCUCCCACUUACAAUUUGUUGAGGAUACGUUGCUUUUGGAUGAGAAAAAUUGGGGCAAUAUUCAAAAGAGCCUCUUAGUCGAUGUUAACGUUGGAAAGUCUUGGUUAUUAGAAGCUGCCAUGGUUUUAAACUGUAAAGUAGAUCAAAUUCUGUUUGGCUACUUGAAGAAAAAAUUUGUGUUGAUGGGUGGCAAAAAAUGACAUAAUUAAAUAGACAUGGAUUUAACUAACUACUUUUGAAGAAAAAGAAAAUGAUAUUUUUUGUCCAAAGUAAAAUGACGUAGUUUGUUAAUGCACUUCUAUAUUAUGGUGCCAAUGCUCUUCUUUAUAACAAAAUAAAAUAAAAAUAUUUGUUUGGGAGAUUUAAAUAGUCAGAUUCUUUACACAUAUCAUGUGCAUGAUGAGGAUCAUUAACAUACAAGCAUCUACAUCUAAAAAAAGAUUUUUCUAUACCAAUAAUUUAGGUAUUUAAAAAAUGUAAAGUUUUAUUUUAAUAUAUGAUAGAUACAUUUAAUUUUUUCCCUAAAAAAAAUAUACAUUUAAUUAUUCAAAUUGACACACGUUAUAUUAUCAAAUUAUUCAUAGCAUAUUAAUUAAUAGUGCUUGCUUGUAAACCCACAUGCAUUCUCACGUUUUUUUGCUAGAAUUGAUUUUUGCACGAUUAUUUUCAAUAUAUUCGGCCAAAUUAACCGUAAUUAGAAAAUUGCAUUGUCUUAAAAAGACAUGUGGGAGUAAGUAUAAUUAAUAUAUACUAGUAGUUUGUUUUCGCUAUCAUGUGUGUGCAUAUGCAAGGUUUAUGUACUUUUGUUUUCCAUGUCCUAAACUCCAGUCUUAAAUUGGAAUUGACAUAUGAAAUUAUUGGUAAAGAGCCUCACAAAAGCGUUACUUUUGGUUCAUUCCAAAAAAUAAAAAAGGAUUGUAUUUAUUUAUCUACCCAUAAUCCAAUCUCCAAGAGCAAACAAGGAAGUUACUAGAGAGUGCAUGGAAUGUCAAGAGGGAGUUACUAUAGUUUUGUUCAAAGUUUAAAGAUUAUACAUUAAUAUUUAAAAUUGUAUUACAAAGUUAUUCAAUCGGAUUUCACCUUGGUGCCACUUAAUAUUUUUUUUUCAUAGAAUACCUCACAAACAUCUAUGUGACAAAAUCUGAUUAAAUGACUAAGUAAAAUAUUUGUACAUAUCAGAGCAUACUCUUUAAACUACUUAUUAGAUUACUAAUUUUAUUAUUAUUAUUAGAAUUAUUUCAUGAUUGAAUUUAAUUCAAUUGUAAGCAGAACUAAUAUAGUUCUUGACAACAUUUUCCAGCAAUAUUUGCAACACUUUGGUGUUUGUAGGACCAAUACACCUAGGUGUCUUGAAUUGAGCCGCGGAUGAACCUAAUCCAACAUAAUGCUCAAGAAUCUUCUGGAAUGUUCCUUUCCGAACAAGUCGGAGUUCAAGGGCUCCAAUGCCUUUGACUUUCCUAGAACUAACAUAGCCAGCAUCAACAAAAGACUUAUCCAAACAUGUACAACAUUCAUAAAGCACAGCAUCACUUGCUUCACCGCUGAUUUCCCAGAAGAUAACAUAGUGUCCUGGGUCAUUGGAUAAAUCAAUGUAGCUAGUGUAGUCAAUCACUUCCAUUUUCUCCUCAGCUAACAUCUUGGACGAUGUUUCGACCGAUAUUUGUAGAUCAUUCUCUGUGUUCUUGUCAAUGUUGAUUGUGAGCAUAAGGUUGCUCCUGCAAAGAAACUUGAUUUCUGGAGCUGACUUAUGGAACCCUAUUACCUUUACUGCAUCUCCUAGCCUAUACCUGUAUAAGCCUGCAAAUUAGAAAAGGGAAAAGGAGAUAAAAUGAUGUAACAAAUGUAAAAAGGAAUAAGCAUAAUAUGUACUACUAUUACUAAUUGCAUGUAAAAAUGGGAUUGUGACAUGGUGUCAUUUGAAGGCAAAUAGAAAAGUUAGUUUGAAAAAGAGGUACAUAUUUAAUGUGAUUAGGUAGUGCUAUGUUCCUUAUUUAGGGAUACAAAUUACCUAACUUUGGUCCCAUGUUGGAUAUGUCAUCAAGCAUAUAAAAGGCAAAGUAACCACUUAACUAGUAACAUUUGUUUUUUUUAUAACCAUUUAGGCUAAAAGCUUUGUCACAAAGUGAAAUUCCCAAUCAAAUCCUCCACAAUUUUCCACCUACUAACCAGUACUCAUUCAUUCUUUCCUAAAACACUAAUAUAUUAUGAAAUUCAUGUCAAAACACUUAAAAAUAAUUAAAUAAAGGGCAUAAGUUAAGAAAUUAAAAAAAAAAAAACAUUCCUUUAAACUUUAUGCAUUCAAUUCAUUAAAAAUUAAAUUUAAUGCACGCACUCCAAUAUAUAAUUUAUACAUUUGACUUCUAAACUUCCUUAAGGGUACAAGUUAACAUUUCCCUUAAAUAAAAUAAACCGUCAUGUUAGUCCAUAACACCUUAAUGACAAGGACUAAAUUGAAGAGUUUUAUAUACAUUAAAAUUACUUAUUAUAUUUAUAGACAUUAGAGACAAAAUUGAAGAGAGACUAAAACUCUAAAGGCUGAAUUGAAGAUUUAUACUAAUUUGUGAGAAGAAGAAAAUGCUAUUAAAGAGUUUAUAGUACCUGCAGGAUUGGUGAGAACAAUCUCAUAAUCUUCACCAAUCUUCACAUGAGUUAAUCCAACUGGCUCAAGCUCCACCUUAGUUCCAUCAAGUUGUUUCAAAGGAAUGAAUUCAAAGUAAGCAAUUUGAGGAAGAACAACAUAAGUAGCAAACUCAGGAGCCACUUUAGGAUUCACAUUUGAAGCAAUCCAACCUUCAGAAGCACCAUAUUCAGAAGUCAACAAAGGAACCUCUCCUGCAUAGUGUCUCAACUUUUUCAAGUAAUGUUCCAUUGAACCUGUCAUGAUUCCUAGAACAUACUUAACAUUAGGAAAAAGUUCUGGUAUCAAUCCAUACCAAUCGCUCAAUCCUAUGCAUUUCUUGUGGAUCAAGUUAGCUAGUUCAGGAUUUGGUUUCAGCAGUUUAGACAUAGCAGUUCUAAUGGAUGGAUGUGUUACCCUAUUGCUAAGAACACCUUCUCUGAUAUCAAAAACAAGUUCCUCCCAAACUUGUUCAAAUGUUCUGAAAGCAUACACAAGGCUGUGUGCAAAUGUUGAUGAAAUUAAACUAACUUCUUCUCUGAAAAAUAGUCCACAUAAGAGGUGACAGUAGAGUGAUUGGUGAAAAUCUGGACUAAAUAUUACUUCAUCUGGACUGACACUAUCGGAUUUAAAUGCAUUCAUGGCAUGCUUGAAUCCUGGAUUUCUGAACACAUUUGUUGUGGCUGUUCCUGCUGUCACACCCCCUUUUGUUUGUGAUAAUUUGCUGCUGUAGAUGAAGCUUAAGGCCUUGCCAUUUUGGAUAGGAAACUCUCUACAUACAUAAUGGAAUUGUGUUACUUUUUGUCCAUUCUAACUAACUAGGAGAAAACUAUGUAGAACCGAACUGACACAUUGAAGAAAUGUCUAUUGUCACAUAUGUAUUGGUGUCCGACAACAAUACGACACUGACAUUUAUGAUUAAAUUCAAUUACUUCAGUUUUUUCAAAUUUUUAUCAGGUCGACGUGUCAGUGUCAUAUUCGGUGUAUGUGAUAGUAUUUCAUAAAAAUAAAUUCAUAUAGCAUAGACACUUCAAAUUAAAGAUGUGUUUGGUUUCCAGCAACGACGAUGCACCGAUACUUGUGACAAGUUUUAAUUACUUUCAUUUUCUCAAAUUAUCAUUGGUAUCAACGUGUCAGUGUCGUAUCUGUGCUUCAUAGGCAGGAAAUAUCUAUGAAGCACCUAAAUAGACGCCGUCAUGUAGACACCGAUAGUAAUUUAAAAAAUGAAAGUGAUUGAAUGUAACCACAUAUGUCAACAUCGUAUCGGUGUCAAAUUUAGACAUGUGUUGGACACACCUUCAAUGAUGUGAAAAAAUACAUGACAUGAAGUUGACAUAAUAGUUAUGAAUAAUACUUGUUUCUAAAGACAAAAGAGGUUUGAUAAAUCUUCACUGUGGUUUCAAACAAUUCAUCAUUCCAUGGUAUAUAUUUUUGCUUCCCUUGACUAGUACCAGAGCUGCAAAAACACAACUUUUAUCAGAUGCAGAAACUUCUAACUUUUUCACAUUCAAAGAGAUGGUAAAUAAGAAGUGUGUCUCAUACCUUAAGGAAACAUCAGUGAUUGGUUUUCCAGUGAGAAUAGGAGAAAAAUCACCAUCAACUAUUCUAUUGAUAUAAGGUUCCAAAUCUUUGUAAGUGACCAAUGGAACACAUGCCUUGAAGCUUUCAGGAUCAGUUCUUCCAUUCAGUCCUAAACUCUGCAAGUAUUCAGCUGAUGCAUUUCCUUCCAAAAUCCUCUUCAGUGUUUCCUUCUGAACAUUCUCAGCAUCCUGUGUUAGACUCUCAAAUUCUUCUAUCACCUUUUCCAAGUCAAACUUUUCAAUUAUUUCCUUCAUCUUCACACCUCCUUCAACCAUAUAAAGUCAAUCAAUGAGUGAGUUUUUUCAGUUUGAAGGACAUACAGAUAUGGCACCGACACAUCAACCAACACAUGUUAGCAUCAGUGUCAGACACAUAUCAGAUAGCCACCACAAAUGAAAUGGGGUAACGAUAAAAUAAAGUUAGAUAAAGAAAUGUUCAGAAAAAGCCAAAGACUAAUGAAGUCAAGAUGAUAUAAGAUAAAAAAAUAAAAUAAAUAAGUAAAAAGUCAACAAAAGUAUGUAUUGUUUGCUUCUUGAAAUAAAAUAAAAAAUCAUGAGAGUUCAUUUUUUGUUUUUUGGUUUCUGGAUUUUCAAUAACUAUAUAGGAUUAGUUAGAAUGACCCAAAAACAAAAAAGAUAGGAUUUUUUUUGUUCUUGUUUUGGGUUGUGAAUGAUGCAGAUGCAUAAGAUUCAAUCAAUUAUGUAAUCAAUUUUAGACUUAAUAAAAUAUUCAUUAUCUUGUUUACUAUUUAGUGAAAUAGUUAAUUUGAUAACGUCCUUGAUUAAAAUUAUGGACUUGUUAUCAUGAUAGAGAUUAUGAUAAUGAGAAAUAAGUCUUUUAUUAUUUUUAAAUAGUUAUUGGAUAAAUAUUAAUUAAUAUGUAUCAUUUAUUAAAUUACAUAUAUAGAUGAUGCAUAUAGUGAUAUGGUUAUUGAACUGACUCACCUGAGAAUUUCUAAUGAUCGAUAUUACCUUAAAUUGUCGAAGAAAAAUUCUCAAGAAAGAAUAUAAUGAUUUAAUUUGAUCUGAGAAUGUCAUAGUAAUUGACAUGUUAUUUAUUGCAUUUUGAUUCUGAUCACCUAAUUCCUUAGGGUUUUAGUUUAAAGGAUAUUGGAUCCGAUUAAAUACUUGUAUAAUUAAUGACUAAUCAAGAUGACCCGUCAACUCUUGGUAAUGAAUUUGAGCUCUAUGAUAAAAUUAAGACCCUGACUAGGAAAAAUGAAUUUUUUUUUUAACAAUAAAAAAUGGAAUAUAUAAUAAUCACCAAAAAUAACUCCUCUAGCACAAGGUGUGCCAAAGGAAUUACUUUAAAAACAAGUUAUGAUGUUUUGACGAAUUACAUCAUGAGUCUCCCACUUAUAAUUUAUUGAGGAUACCUUGCUUUUUUGGGUGAGAAAAGUUGGGGCAAUAUUCGAGCUAGGAAGAUAAAUCUGAUUCUUUUUGAAAUUAUAUCUGAAUUAAAAGUGAAUUUUCAAAAGAGUAUUUGUUUACUUGAGAGUUAAUCAUCAACCUCAUCCUUGAAUUUUUACGAAUCGGUCAAAAUCGUCCUUUAAUUAUGCGAAAUAUUAAUUUAAUCCCUCGGUCCAAUUUGGGUGUUAACGGUGUUGUCGUAGUCGUUAAUCUCUCAUAUGGGUCUCCAUGUCAGAUGCCACACAAGCAGAGACUAAUUUGGCUGAUAGUGACCAUAAUUUCCAAUGACUAAAUUGAUUGAUUUACUGAAAAUGUUUUGCUCUUUCUUCCUCAACGACUAUUUCUUCCCCAAAUAUAUAGAAUUGGAACCCUAAUUUUUCAAUCUAUAAUCUACACUCCAAAAUCCCCCAAAUUUCUUCCAAUAAUUAGUAGUAACAUUCUUCCCCAAUGUAAAUAACUUCAAACCCUAAUUAUUUGACUAACUAUCAAAUUGAUCCCUACAUUAUAUUGAAAACAUGAAGAAGGCUUAUAUUGGUGAGAAGGGUUGCAAGAAGACCAAAGAAGAACACGAGAAAGGAUGUCAAUGAGGAACAUGUUUAUGGGAGUAACAUGAAGAAGACUUACAAUGACACUCAAUGUGAAAGGCGUGGAUUGAUUGGUCAUAACUCAAGAAGUUGUGUGAAGCGGGGUGUUGAUAGGAGACCAAAAGACUGGAUUGAUACUGAGCCAGAAGAAGAAAAUGUUGAAAAUGCAGAAAAUGUUGUGCCAGGAAAUGCAGAAAAUGUUGGAAAUGUUGUGCCAAAAAAUACAGAAAGUGCUGGAAAUGUUGUUGCAAAUGCUCAAAAUGCUGACAAUGUUGUUGCAAAUGAAGUAGUGCAUGGACAAGUAUAACUCUUAAAUUUUAAGGAUCGAUUUGCUAGUAUGUGUAAUAAUUUAAGAACUGGUUUGAUUGAAUAUGUUAUAAUUUAGGGACUGAUUUGAUUGAAAAUGUAAUUGCAGGGUGUUACUACAAGGAGGUAUGACAUUAGAGGACCUAUUAUUUUAAAUGAGAGACCUAAGAAAACACCAGUGAGGGGUCAUGCACCAGCACAUCCAACUGCUUCUGCCGUUAUUAGAGUACCAUAUCCAAGUUAUGGUCCAUCUGGUUCGACUCAACCUAAAUUCAUGGAGUUUAUCCCAACCCUCGGAUUUCCAAAGAAGUGAUUUUUGAUGGAAACGUAUUUAAAAUAUGCUUUUGGAAAUGUAAUAUUUAGACUUGUUUCAAUUAUGCCCCAUAGUUGGAUUGCUUUUGUCUAUGUAAUAUUUCAGGAUCAAGUUGUGUCUUGUGACUUUUUUACUUUGUUAUGCACAUACAUGCUUCAAGGAUUAAAUUGAUAUCUGAUUAAAUAAUGCAAGGACUUAUUUGACGGGUUUUUAAUAUAAUGUAAGGACCGAUUUGAUAGUUUGUCAAAUAAUUAGCGUUUGAAGUUUUUUGAAUUGGGGAAGAACGUUACCACUAAUUAUUGGAAGAAAUUUUGGGGAUUUUGGUGUGUAGAUUGUAGAUUGUAAAAUUAGGCUUCCAAUUUUAUAUAUUUGGGAAAGAAAUAGCUGUUGGGGAAGAAAAAGCAAAACAUUUUAUGCAAAUCAAUCAAUUUAGUCUUUAAAAAUUUUGGUCACUAUGGCCAAAUUAGUCCCUGCUUGUGUGACAUCUGACAUGGAGACUCAUGUGAAAGGUUAACGGGCACAUCAGCACCGUUAACACCCAAAUUGGACGGAGGGAAUAAAUUGGUUGACAUAUGACAAGUUCAGAAACUAAUUUGAUAUUUCGUAUAAUUGGAAAACGAUUUUAGCUGAUCGUUACAAAUUCAAGGAUGGAAUUAAUGAUUCACGUUUACUUUGAAAAAAAAAAUUGAGUUGGUAAGUGGCAAAAUUACAUAAAGAGACAUGGAUUUAACUACUAAAAAAAUCGAUAUUUUUGUCAAAAGUAAAAAGGUGUAGUUUGUUAAUACACACUAAUUUUUUAGUGAGUGCGUGUUAACAUUCUCUUCCUCUCUCUUUUUCUCUAUCUUCUAUCGAUCUAUAUAUAUUAUAUAUAUAAACACACACAAAGAAAACAAAUAUAGACUUAUUUGUCAACCAAUGAAAAGGAUGAAAGUUGAUGAUGCAAUAUAUUAAGAAUGAGGAGUAAAAACAGAAAUUCUGAGCACCUUAUUUUGUUCAUGUGAGUACUCUAUUUCCUCCACAAACAAAUCGACUAUAAAAGCUAAUUAGUCCAAUUUAUAUUUUCCUGUGCUUUGUUUCCCUUUAUCUUCCUCUUCUACAUAUGAUCUUCUCAAAAAGUUCACUCAAAUUGAACCACUUGGAAGAUUAUAUCUUUACCAUUUCCAUUUGGAAUUAAUUAUCACUUCGUCAAGAUUAUAAAACUUUGUGAUGAUUUGUUUUGAUUCACCAGGAUAUGGUCACUCCAUUAUUUGUCUGGGAAAUAUUGCUCUUGCAUCUUUCUCUUCCUCCAAAAUCCAUAUAAGCUAGUACUACUCAUCUUGCCUCAAAGAGAGUAACCUACGUUAUAUUGGUCUCUUCAAGGGCUUGUUCCACUUCUAUAUUAUGGUGCCAAUGCUCUUCUUUGUAACAAAAUAAAAUAAAAAUAUUUGUUUGGGAGAUUUAAAUAGUCAGAUUCUUUUCAUAUCAUGUGCAUGAUAUCGUACAAGCAUAUCUACAUCUAAUUUUUUUUUUUUUUUUAUACCAAUAAUUUAGGAAUUUGAAAAAUGUAGUUUUGACACGUUAUAUUAUCAUAUUAUUCAUAGCAUAUUAAUUAAUUAACGCUUGGUUGUAACCCACAUGCAUUCUCACGUUUUUUUGCUAAAAUAAAAUUGAUUUUUGCACGUCGGAUUCAAACAUGAUGAGAGAAUCCAAAUCUUCUACACUCCCAUGUUUUUAAAAAGUCACGCAUGAUUGUGAAAGUGUACAUUUUGAUUGAAAAAUCGAUUUUUUAUUUGGAAGGAGACAUCUAUAUGGUGCAAAAUUGUAUAUUUUUUUUAGAUGUGUAUUUUUAACGAGACUUUGACAAUUUAUAAAGUUUGAGAAGUUGUAGAUACAUGUUCUUCAACACAUUUUGUUUUAUUGGUUAAAAUUCCCAUGAUUAUGGGCUUCAUGUAAGUUUGAUGGAACUCAUAUUAAGUUCUUUGACCAUAAAAACAAGUACGUUUGUUUUUUAAUAGCAAGGUUGGCAUCGAUAAUUUCCUUUCUUAGUGAAAAAUAAUUAAAUGUGAAACGAGUUUAUCCAAUAUCAUUUUUUUUUUUUUUAUGAAAGAAGUUUAUCCAAUGCCAUAUUCAGCUUACAAAACCAUUUUCAUUUCUUCAAAAUAAAAUUAUAAUAUUUCAAAGAUAUAGAGGUACAUAUUUAUAUGAUCUUCCACUUUUAUUCCCGAUAACUUUGGCCUUCAUUGUAUCCAAUUCAAUAAACAUUCUUAAUUUUAUUACCAACCAAGCAUGUGGAUUUCUAUCAAGCAUUAUAGUCAAUCACUUCUUAAAAUAUUAUGGAGAGGCUGCAGCAAAGAUGAACUUGGAUGUUGGGCAAGUGCUUGAGGCAAAUGAUAAAAUUAAAAAGUUUAAAGGUUAUGCAUUAAUAUUUAAAACUGUAUUACAAAGUUAUUCAAUCAGAUUUAACCUUGGUGCCACAUUAUAUUUUUUCAUAGUAUACCUCAUAAAAACCUAUGUGACAAAAUCUGAUUAGAUGACUAAGUAAAAUAUUUGUACAUAUCAGAGCAUACUCUUUAAACUACUUAUUAGAUUGCUAAUUUUAUUGUUUUAUUAUUAUUAUUAUUUCUAGAUUGAAUUUAAUUCAAUUGUAAGCAGAACUAAUAUAGUUCUUGACAACAUUUUCCAGCAAUAUUUGCAACACUUUGGUGUUUGUAGGACCAAUGCACCUAGGUGUCUUGAAUUGAGCCGCAGAUGCUCCUAAUCCAACAUAAUGCUCAAGAAUCUUCUGGAAUGUUCCUUUUCGAACAAGUCGGAGUUCAAGGGCUCCAAUGCCUUUGACUUUCCUAGAACUAACAUAGCCAAGAUCAACAAAAGACUUGUCCAAGCAUGUACAACAUUCAUCAAGCACAUCAUCACUUGCUUCGCCACUGAUUUCCCAGAAGAUAACAUAAUGUCCUGGUUCUUUCGAUAAAUCAAUGUAGCUAGUGUAGUCAAUCACUUCAAUUUUCUCCUCAGCUAACAACUUGGAUGCUGUUUCCACUGAUAGUUGCAAAUCAACUUCUGUGUUCUUGUCAAUGUUGAUUGUAAGCAUAAGAUUGUUCCUGCGAAUAAACCUGAUUUCUGGAGUUGAGUUACGUAACCCUAUAACCUUUACUACAUCUCCUAGCUUAUACCUGUAUAAGCCUGCAAAUUAUACAAGAUUAAUUAUCAUAAACAAAAUUAGAUUUAAAUAAAUCUGAAAAGAUAUCAUGUGGUAAUAUUUUAUAUUUGAAGUAACAAAGAUUGAAUCUCAGUAAAUUGGUGGAUGCAAUGUCACUUUAACACUUACAAUAUCCGAGAAAAGCAUCAUGAAGAAAUCAUUUAAAAUAUAAAGAUACAUUAAAGAUUACUUAUUAUAUUUAUAUACUUUAGAGACAAAAUUGAGGCGAGACUAGUACUCUAAAGACUGAAUUGAAGGUUUAUUCUAAUUUGUAAGAAGAAAAAAAAUGCUAUUAAAGAAUUUAUAGUACCUGCAGGAUUGGUGAAAACAACCUCAUACUCCUCGCCGAUCUUCACAUCAGUUAAUCCAACUGGCUCAAGCUCCACCUUAGUUCCAUCAAGUUGUUUCAAAGGAAUGAAUUCAAAGUAAGCAAUUUGAGGAAGAACAACAUAAGUAGCAAACUCAGGAGCCACUUUAGGAUUCACAUUUGAAGCAAUCCAACCUUCAGAAGAGCCAUACUCAGAAGUCACCAAAGGAACCUCUCCUGCAUAGUGUCUCAACUUUUUCAAGUAAUGUUCCAUUGAACCUGUCAUGAUCCCUAGAAGAUACUUAGCAUUAGGGAAAAGCUCCGGUAUCAAUCCAUACCAAUUGCUCAAUCCUAUGCAUUUCUUGUGGAUCAAGUUAGCUAGUUCAGGAUUUGGUGUCAGCAGUUUAGACAUAGCAGUUCUAAUGAAUGGAUGUGUGAUUCUACUGCUAAGAACACCUUCUCUGAUAUCAGUAACAAGUUCCUCCCAAACUUGUUCAAAUGUUCUGAAAGCAUUCACAAGGCUGUGUGCAAAUGGUGCUGAAAUUAAACUAACUUCUUCUCUGAAAAGUAGUCCACAUAAGAGGUGGCAGUAGAGUGUUUGCUGAAAAUCAGGACUAAAUAUUACUUCAUCUGGACUGACACUAGGGGAUUUUAAUGCCUGCAUGGUAUGCCUGUAUCCUGGAUGACUGAACACAUUUGCUGUGGCUGUUCCUGCUGUCACACCCCCUUUUGUUUGUGAUAAUUUGCUGCUGUAGAUGAAGCUUAAGGCCUUGCCAUUUUGGAUAGGAAACUCUCUACAUAAUGUAAUUGUGUUAGUUUUUGUCCAUUCUAACUAACUAGGAGAAAACUAUGUAGAACCGACACACUGAAGAAAUGUCUGAUGUCCCAUAUGUAUUGGUGUCCGACAACGAUACGACACUGAUAUGUCAACCUCGAUAUUCAUUACUUCAACUUUUUUAAAUUAUUAUCGAGGUUGACGUGUCAGUGUCAUAUUCGAUGUAUGUGAUAAUGCCUCAUAAAAAUAAAUUCAUAUUGCAUUGACACUUAAGAUUGAAGAUGUAUUUGGUUUCCUACAACAACAUUGCACUGAUACUUAUGACGAGUUUUAACUAUUCAUUUUCUCAAAUUAUCAUUGAUGUCAAUGUGUCACUACUGUAUAUGUGCUUCAUGGGCAGAAAAUAUCUAUGAAGAACUACAAUAGACACAAACGCCUAUACAUAUACGUAGACACCGAUAGUAAUUUAAAAAAUUAACGUAGACACCGAUAGUAAUUUAAAAAAUUAAAGUGAUUGAAUAUAACCACAAGCGUUAAUAUCGUGUCGGUGUCAAAUAUAGACAUGUGUUGAACACCAGACACACCUUCAGUUAUGUGUUACAUGGGAAAAAAUACAUGACAAGAAGUUGAGUAAUAAUAAUUAUGAAUCAUACUUGUUCCUAAAGGCAAAAGAGGUUUGAUAUAUCUGCACUGUGGUUUCAAACAAUUCAUCAUUCCAUGGUAUACAUUUUUGCUUCCCUUGACUAGUACCAGAACUGCACAAACACAACACUUUUAUCAGAUGCAUAAACUUGUAACCUUUUCACAUUCAGAUGGGAAAGUAAAUAGAAAAUAAGAGUGUUUUGAUACCUUAAGGAGAUAGCAGUGAUUGGUUUUCCGGUGAGAAUAGGAGAAACAUCACCAUCAACAAUUCUAUUAAUAUAAGGUUCCAAAUCUUUGUAAGUGACCAAUGGAACACAUGCCUUGAAGCUUUCAGGAUCAGUUCUUCCAUUCAGUCCUAAACUCUGCAAGUAUUCAGCUGAUGCAUUUUCUUCCAAAAUCCUCUUCAGUGUCUCCUUCUGAACAUUCUCAGCAUCCUUUGUUAGCCUCUCAAAUUCUUC
rnacentral:lncRNA from 1 species